UCGGGAAUUUUGGGCAAUGGGGGAAACCCUGACCCAGCAACGCCGCGUGAAGGAUGAAGUAUUUCGGUAUGUAAACUUCGAAAGAAUAGGAAGAAUAAAUGACGGUACUAUUUAUAAGGUCCGGCUAACUACGUGCCAGCAGCCGCGGUAAUACGGAGGGUGCAAGCGUUAAUCGGAAUUACUGGGCGUAAAGCGCACGUAGGUGGUUUUGUAAGUCGGAUGUGAAAGCCCUGGGCUCAACCUGGGAAUUGCAUUCGAUACUGCUUAACUAGAGUAUGGUAGAGGGAAGUGGAAUUUCCGGUGUAGCGGUGAAAUGCGUAGAUAUCGGAAGGAACACCAGUGGCGAAGGCGACUUCCUGGGCCAAUACUGACACUGAGGUGCGAAAGCGUGGGUAGCAAACAGGAUUAGAUACCCCCGUAGUCCCUGAGCGGGCUGGCAAGGCGCAU
rnacentral:rRNA from 1 species